AAUAUUAUUUGCAUAACUCUUCUGGGUCUGCAGAGAUUGAAUAUUUGCUCUGUUUUACAUAUUGCAGUAAUGCCAACACACUUUAACGUUUUUAAUCGUUAUUUCUAGAUGGUUGCCUACCCGAACAGAGUUGACGCGAGGUUACAUGGGCUCAGGUGAAGAUGAUUAUUUUAGCAAUUGAGAUUCUGCACAUCACAGUGGUCUAGACUACAGUGGACAGACCGAGAAAAACAUAAUUAACAGGCUGAAAAAAUAUCCCUGUGGACAAGACUAAAAUUUCAUUGGUUAUACAGAAAGAAGCCUUUUUCCAUGUGACAGUGGAGUUUCUAGCAAUAAAAGCCCUCGCGCUUCUACGGCAGUGGUCACAACACAGAAAGAGGAGGAGGAGAAAAACUAAAAAAAAAACCCUGAAGGAUGGUUCACAAAAAAAAAAUCUAAAGAAACCACAGGGAAUUCCUUUUUUUAAGAUCAGCAGAAAGCAAGCCAUCUGUGGUAAGGUUGUUUUUGGCUUCUAUAUUCUUUUGCAGUUUAUUUCUUCCACCUACUUUGUUGUCUAAUUGUAGCUCCCUCCGCCAACUGGAAGAUUGAUGGGUGUGGAAAUCACCUAACUUCUUCCUUGCUUAAGUCGGAUGAGGGUGGCACUCAUGUAAAUAUGCAAAUAGGGGCGGCUGAGCUGCGUUGUUGACACGUGUAUGUGUUGUGUGCUUCUCCCCACCUCCCCGUCUUAGCGUCUGAUCUUCAGCACAUUGGUGUUGUUUCUUGUGAUCAGCAGCACUGCGUGCUGGAAAGGGGAAUGUGGAGGGAAGGGGGGGA